rnacentral:ncRNA from 1 species
AAUAAAUUUUUUAUAGUUUGAUAAUUUUAUUUUAAAUUUAUUUUACAUAUAAAUUUUAGUGUUGGAUUUAAAUUAUUUUAAUAAUAAUUUAAUUAAGUUUAAGUAGUAAUUAAUAUUAAAUUAUUUAAGAAAUUAAGAUUUAGUAAUAUUAAAAUUAAUAACAAAUUUUGUGCCAGCAGUUGCGGUUAAACAAAAGUUAAAUUAAAUUUUAUUAGUAAAUAAUAAUUAAUUUUUAAUAUAAAAUAAAAAUUAAAUUAUUAAGUGAAAUUUUAAUUUAAUAAAAUUUUAUAAUAUAAAUUAUGAUUUAAUAAAUUUUAUAUAAAACUAGGAUUAGAUACCCUAUUAUAAAAAUUUAAAUUAUAAAUACUAAAAUAGUAAAUAAUUAUUUAUUGAAACUUAAAUAAUUUGGCGGUAUUUUAGUUCAUUUAGAGGAAUCUGUUUAAUAAUUGAUAAUCCACGAAUAAAUUUACUUAAUUUUUAAUUUUGUAUAUCGUUGUUAAAAAAAUAUUUUUUAAUAAUUAUAAUAUUUAAAAAUUUUAAUUAAAAAUUAAAUCAGAUCAAGAUGCAGAUUAUAAUUAAGAAUAUAAUGGAUUACAAUAAAUUUAUUUAAAUAGAUAUUAAUUUGUAAAAAUUAAUUGAAAGUGGAUUUAAAUGUAAUUUUAUUUAAUUUAAUAAAAUGAUUAUAAAUUGGAAUAUGUACAUAUUGCCCGUCGCUUUCAUAUAUUUAUAAGUUGAAAUAAGUCGUAACAAAGUAGAGGUACUGGAAAGUGUUUCUAGAAAGAA